CGGGAUGUGUCAAAUGACUAAACUACCUUUGGUGUUAUUUGAGGACUUAGGUUAACUUAAGGGGAUAAUUUGGUCAUUUUGGCAAGAGGAUAUACUUCAUUUAGGAGCUGGGGACUCUAGAACCACUUAGGAAAAGCAGAGAAAAAGGAAGGAAGAAGGAUUAAUUCUCUCAGCUCUCUCUCUCUUCCAUUCGGUUCUCUCUCCCUCUCUAAGGUGUUUGAUUAUGAAGGAUCCUAGGCCAAAGAUUCAAGUAUUCAAAAGCUUAAUUGAGAUCAAGGUUUGGCAAGGUUAAGCUUGGGGAAUUGUGGAUUUGAGUUUGGAAUUGGAUUGGGAAAGCAGCUCAGGGUCGAAUUUCUACUUGGGGUUUUCAGCGAAGCUCGGGUUAGAGGACUGUGCUUGGGAUUACGGUGCUCAAGAAGCUCGAGACACAGAGCUGGGAAUAGUGAAGGCCGAGAACGGCGAGGGCCGGGAACGGCGAAGGCCGAGAGCAGCAUUUAGCAAGUGGAGUGCGAGUUGCCAGGGUGAGACCCUAAAUGAUACCUGGGAUAUCCUCAUAGUGUAGACCGCGAACCCAGGGCCUGGGAAAGCGCAUGGGACGACAUGGCCGUAAGGGCAAGGGGAAAGUCGACCAACCAUUAGUACGAAGAGCGUGAAGCAACGUGUACAUGUUCGGCCUACUUGGCUGCCACGGCCAGGGGUAUUUUUGGGAGAUGUUUUGUACUAAAUCAUAUUUUGUAGUUUAGUCGACUUUAAUCAUAUUUUUGAGUUGUAAAUAUUUAUAAACAGUAUUUUGGGAUCCCGAAUAUUAAACGCUUUAUAAUUUUCAAUGAA